GCGGCGUGCCUAACACAUGCAAGUCGAACGAGAAAGGGACUUCGGUCCUGAGUAUAGUGGCGCACGGGUGAGUAACACGUGACUAAUCUACCCUCGAGUGGGGAAUAACUGAGAGAAAUCUUAGCUAAUACCGCAUAACACUUACGAGUCAAAGCAGCAAUGCGCUUGGGGAGGAGGUCGCGGCCGAUUAGCUAGUUGGCGGGGUAAUGGCCCACCAAGGCGAUGAUCGGUAUCCGGCCUGAGAGGGCGCACGGACACACUGGAACUGAAACACGGCCCAGGCUCCUGCGGGAGGCAGCAGUGGGGAAUUUUGCGCAAUGGGGGAAACCCUGACGCAGCAACGCCGCGUGGAGGAUGAAGUAUCUCGGUACGUAAACUCCUUUCGAUGGGGAAGAUAAUGACGGUACCCAUAGAAGAAGCCCCGGCUAACUUCGUGCCAGCAGCCGCGGUAAUACGAGGGGGGCAAGCGUUGUUCGGAUUUAUUGGGCGUAAAGGGUGC
rnacentral:rRNA from 1 species